AUUUUAGAAGCAAGGAGCCGCCUCCCAGAUUCUCAGCGAUCCUACAUUGACAAUUUCUGCUGCCAUCGCUAACUCUCUCCAUCCUUCUACAGCAUGUGUG